rnacentral:misc_RNA from 1 species
AAGUAGCUUUACAGAUCCAUGAAGCUAGAUCCACACAAGAAAACUGGUUAGAAACAUCAUUUGCAUGUAUAUUACGGCGGGAAGCGAGCGGGUGAUGAUGAGUUUAAGCUAAAACUCUGAAUGGUUGAAAUGAAUGAGAAGCAAAAGACAAGAAAUUGCAUGUUCUUGCAAUUCAAACAACCCUGAAACAGAGUGUGUUUUCUGGGGUAAGCAACGGACAAAGAAAGAGAGAUAUAAAGUAAUAACAAGUCUCGACGUAUUUGCAUAAACACCUUGAAGAAAAAGAAGCAAUUU